rnacentral:rRNA from 1 species
AACGAACGCUGGCGGCAUGCCUAACACAUGCAAGUCGAACGAGACCUUCGGGUCUAGUGGCGCACGGGUGCGUAACACGUGGGAAUUUGCCUCGGGGUAUGGAAUAACUCAGGGAAACUUGAGCUAAUACCAUAUAAUGUCUUCGGACCAAAGAUUUAUCGCCCUGAGAUAAGCCCGCGUAGGAUUAGCUAGUUGGUGGGGUAAAGGCUCACCAAGGCGACGAUCCUUAGCUGGUCUGAGAGGAUGAUCAGCCACACUGGGACUGAGACACGGCCCAGACUCCUACGGGAGGCAGCAGUGGGGAAUAUUGGACAAUGGGCGGAAAGGCCUGAUCCAGCAAUGCCGCGUGAGUGAUGAAGGCCUUAGGGUUGUAAAGC